GAACGCGCAUGCUCACCCUGAAAUCACACGCUCAAAGAUGGAGGAGGGGGCUAAUCUUUUAUUUACAGUCUAUGGGGCUAAUCAGGACUAGAUAGCUGAAGGCUAUCCGAAUGUCCUGAUAGCGUUGAACACGAACGCGACGACAAUGAAGUGAAAGCCCGGCAUCAUUGUUGUGACUAGUUCGGCUGCAGGGGACAGCGAGACAACAACUCUCUGGUGCAGUGUGCAGAUGGAAGCCCGGAGAGUGGGAGGCAUGUGCUUCUGAAAACUCGACAUCAUACCUUCACAUGCCUGCAGAGAGCCAUGAGGUCAGUGGGAGGUACCACAUGGACAAAGAGGACCUGAGGAGGAGCCUGGCAUUGUUGAAUGCACGAGAUGUGACUCUUCACUGCAUCAUCACUGACCGUCAAGCACGAUGUCUGGCACACGGAGAAAGCGACUGCUGCUCUUCACAGGCUUGAGAAGGUGCUGACAACAGUGAAGGAUGCUGAGAAACUUGAGCCCUCAUCACCACACUUCAUCUGAGGAGGUUUUUCACAUCAUCUCCUUCUGUCCCUUAAAAAUGUAGUCUUACCAUUUCUUGGAAUGCUGUACAGGUAAAUGAAACUGUAAUUACUUAG